rnacentral:rRNA from 2 species
CACCUGUACCCAUGCCGAACACAGCAGUUAAGCCCUAGAACGCCGGAAGUAGUUGGGGGUUGCCCCCUGUGAGAUAUGGAAGUCGCUUAGC